rnacentral:rRNA from 1 species
UACGAGGGGGGCAAGCGUUGUUCGGAAUUAUUGGGCGUAAAGGGUGCGUAGGUGGUCCGUUAAGUUCGUUGUGAAAUCCCUGGGCUCAACCCGGGAACUGCUUCGAAUACUGGCGGACUUGAGGCUAGUAGAGGUCACUGGAACUGACGGUGGAGCGGUGAAAUGCGUAGAUAUCGUCAGGAACGCCGGUGGUGAAGACGGGUGACUGGGCUAGUUCUGACACUGAGGCACGAAAGCGUGGGGAGCGAACGGG